UACGUAGGGUGCGAGCGUUAAUCGGAAUUACUGGGCGUAAAGCGUGCGCAGGCGGUUUUGUAAGCCAGAUGUGAAAUCCCCGGGCUUAACCUGGGAACUGCAUUUGGGACUGCAAGGCUUGAGUGCGGCAGAGGAGACUGGAAUUCCUGGUGUAGCAGUGAAAUGCGUAGAUAUCAGUCGGAACACCGGUGGCGAAGGCGGCUUCUUGGGCCCUACCUGACGCUGAGGCGCGAAAGCCAGGGGAGCGAACGGG
rnacentral:rRNA from 1 species